AAAUAAGCCAGUGGGAGCUCUUCAUGUGGCUGAUCAAUAUGGUUGGCUUUCACUUGUAGGAAGACAAUGUUGGUGAAACAAUGGAAGAUGGAUUUCAAUAGAGGGCAUCUGAUUUUGUUAGAAAAAGCUGUCUUCCCUACUUGGCUGCAAGCUUAUUUGCAAUAUGGAUCAUAUUCUACCUUGGUAUCCUGGCAUGUCAUGGAGGAUCAAUAAGUGCCUGCUGGAUUGAUUUGAAUGCCAAUGUCACAGGUCCAGUCUGUGAACAGCAUGAGGGGGAAUCAAGCACCUGUGAUACAGUUUGAAUCAUGAUGCAGCAUGUACUUGCGACUGCACAGAGGAAAGGAAUGUGCAUACAGAUGAAAGAUUAUUGUAUCUGGAAUACUACAUGGCAAUGAGAAAAAAUGAAAUCUGGCCUUGUGUAGCAAUGUGGAUGGACCUUGAGGGCGUUAUG